ensembl:lincRNA Gm29157 predicted gene 29157
AAACUGACCUGAAGUUUAGUGCAUCUCAGAAUCACACUUACAUAAAAUUUUUAAUGUGCUUCAAUCAACCCACAAAGAUUUCUUAAAAGCUACUUGGUAUUUCCCAUUGAGUUUAAACAACCUGAGUGAAAGAAAAGAGAAGUGUAUUGGGAUGGGAAAUGGAGAGAGAGAAAGAGGAGGGAUGGAGAUGGAAGCUGGGGAAGAGGGUCAGGUGGUGUAGCCUGCGUUACACCCAAAGGCCUGUAAGGAUGGAAAGGCAUGGACAACCUGGAAAGAGCCUUUCAGAAUGAGUGUCAUAUUUUGGUGGAUCACAGCACUCUCUGACAGCAUAAUGAAAAUGUGUUACUCUUUUCUGAAAAAUUAUAUGCUAUUUUUCAUAUGAUCCUGGAACACUGUGACUUAAAAAUCCAGGUAGUAAAUAACUUCUUAACAGAGUCUUGCUUUCAGGAUGAAAUAUUUCUGAGCAGUCAUAAGUGAAACAAGACUUAUGUAAAUAAAAAUGUGUGAUACAUCUAUACCAUCUAAGGAUUCCUAUUUAAAGCCAGGUGUGGUGGCUCGUGUCUAUAACCCAGCACUCUGGAAGCUGAAUAAUGAAGAUUGCUUGAAUCCUAA